rnacentral:rRNA from 1 species
ACGUAGGGUGCGAGCGUUGUCCGGAAUUAUUGGGCGUAAAGGGCUCGUAGGCGGUUUGUCGCGUCGGGAGUGAAAUCCACUGGCUUAACUGGUGGCUUGUUUUCGAUACGGGCAGACUGGAGGCAUGCAGGGGAGAACGGAAUUCCUGGUGUAGCGGUGAAAUGCGUAGAUAUGCGGAGGAACACCGAUGGCGAAGGCAAUCCCCUGGGCCUGCACUGACGCUCAUGCACGAAAGCGUGGGGAGCAAACAGGA